UACGGGAGGCAGCAGUAGGGAAUAUUGCGCAAUGGGGGCAACCCUGACGCAGCAAUGCCGCAUGAGUGAGGAAUGCCUUCGGGUUGUAAAGCUCUGUCAGUGGGGAAAAAUUGCCAUAUAGUUAAUAACUGUAUGGUUUGAUGGUACCCACAGAGGAAGCACCGGCUAACUUCGUGCCAGCAGCCGCGGUAA
rnacentral:rRNA from 1 species